UACGAAGGGGGCUAGCGUUGUUCGGAAUCACUGGGCGUAAAGGGCGCGUAGGCGGCCGAUCAAGUCGGGGGUGAAAGCCUGUGGCUCAACCACAGAAUUGCCUUCGAUACUGUAGAGCUUGAGACCGGAAGAGGUAAGUGGAACUGCGAGUGUAGAGGUGAAAUUCGUAGAUAUUCGCAAGAACACCAGUGGCGAAGGCGGCUUACUGGUCCGGUUCUGACGCUGAGGCGCGAAAGCGUGGGGAGCAAACAGG
rnacentral:rRNA from 1 species